CUGCUGCCAUGUUGCCAUGUUGCCUUCAUUUUGACAAAGAUGCAGCCACCUUAUUGGUGGAGCACACUCACGUGACGCACCGUGCAACCACUUCCUGGAAAAAUAUUAUUCCGCUCAGAGAGAAGUAGUCCGUGAUAAAAACUUUUUGCCAUAGCCGCUUUGCCACGAUAUCAACGACAAAAAUAAUUGGUAGCUCUGUAAGGCCCCUGCUUUGUAUUCGUAUGGAGAUCACAUGAUCAUAACAUGAAAAAAGCUUCACUUUAUGGACGGCGCAACUUCCGACCAUGGUUCCGACAGAGGAAUCAUUGUGCACAUGCACUUCCCCCGAUAUACUCAGUCAUUCGUGGCACGUGAAAGUUUUCAGAGACGAAGGAAAAAGUGUCGAAGAAGUCAAUUUGACCUCAUUCAGCGGUUAAGAGAACAUGUCACAGCGGAAGACAACCUGGGUUGUUAAGAAGACCUUCACUGACUUUGUUCAAGGUCCCACGUAUCCUUCACCCCCGAAGAAAUUUCGGAAGGGGUCCGAAACAGUGGCCUCGAAGGCCUCUGGUCCAUCUCAUCAGCCACAAGGGGUAAACGUGGCUAAUUCCACCACCACUGGUCCUAAAGAUGCCCCAAUCAAGAACCCUACCAGAACCCUACCCCCGCGUGUUCCACGCCAAGAGCAACCAAACUCUCCUGAUUUGUUUGAACAACCGGAAACAUCAGUAGAUCUUUCGUGCGGAUAAAAUCGAUGUGUCACGUUGGGGGAAAGGACUUCAAGACCUGUGCACGCAGGAUCCUGGACAGCAAUGCCCUGCAGACACAGUACAAUCUAAUGGGUGGAGGACAUCAGGGAAAAAGGGCUAUAAAAAAAACCCCGCCUUCUUUUCCGUGGUUGUCGAGAGUGUUUGCAGUCGGUUUCCAAAUACCAUAGAAGAACAAGUUGGAGCAGCUCUCGGUGAUCACCAAAAACAGGCGCCAGCUCGAUGUGGUGGUGGGGGGAGGGGGGCUACAGGAAACACAGAACUUCCCACUGCUAAUUUUUUUUCAAAAAGCCCCAAAAAGUUCUUUAAAAAACAGUGUUUUUAUAAAACAAACGUCUUAAUUUUAAUUAUUUUUGUUUUUGCAUUGCAAGGCAAAUUUCAUAAAACCAGUUAAAAGGUUGUUAAAAGUAUUUAUAUUUACAUUUUUUUUAAAAUUUUUUCCACUUUUAUACAAUGUAAUAUUUUGUUCAGUUUAUUUUGAAUUAUUUGAAUUUGUCCAAGUUCCAUGUUUAAAUUUCUGUUCUAUUUGUGUAACAUGAAAGAAAAGUUAUGCCAAGUCCAUGAUUGUAAUGGUUGUAUUCUGAAUGAAUAAUGUACUAUAAUUGCAAUUCCAGUCUACUGAUGACAAAUGUAGAUUAGUGUUAAAUUAUGAAAAAGCAUGACAUUAAAUUAAAAAUGUAUUGUAAAAGGUCCAGAAAGAGACACAUUGGCGAAAUAGUCAGGACAUCCUUAGAGUACAUCAAGGU